UGGGGAAUUUUCCGCAAUGGGCGAAAGCCUGACGGAGCCACGCCGCGUGUGCGAUGAAGGCCCUCGGGUCGUAAAGCACUGUGGAGAGAGAAGAAGAAAGCCAGUGAAGAGCUGGCCUUGACGGUAUCUCUUUAGCAAGCACCGGCUAACUCCGUGCCAGCAGCCGCGGUAAUACGGAGGGUGCGAACGUUGCUCGGAAUCAUUGGGCGUAAAGCGCGCGUAGGCGGCCUGUCAAGUUGGGUGUGAAAGCCCGGGGCUCAACCCCGGAAGUGCAUCCAAAACUGUCAGGCUCGAGUACCAGAGGGGAGCAGAGAAUUCCCGGUGUAGAGGUGAAAUUCGUAGAUAUCGGGAGGAAUACCAGUGGCGAAGGCGCUGCUCUGGAUGGAUACUGACGCUGAGGUGCGAAAGCGUGGGGAGCAAACAGGAUUAGAUACCCGUGUAGUCC
rnacentral:rRNA from 1 species